UAACGCAAUUUGUGUUUACUUUUAAUAUAAACUUUUCAUUCGCGCACAAACAAAGCGAUCAAAGUACCUAGAUUCGAUUGGUGAUUUCGCGACAAAUAUCUGUUUGCUUUCAAUUUCCGCGGCGGGGUUUGUGGCCGGCACCGAGGAGAACCGCUCUCAGUGUGACACGUUCUCUUGGCUUCAAUAAAUAAACUAUGAAUCAACUGCGGUCACACUUUACCGCGUCCACAGCUAACGACGUUUUAUUUUCAUUCGUUUCUUAUUAAAACGGCAGCUAAUUCCUGCAAGACGCCCGCCAAUCAGGGGCGUCUCGUCGCAGUCGCGGGCGAGCUGGGCUUGAGCCCCGCAUUCUGAGAGCCUCUUGAUCAAUCUCGGCGAAUCCGCUUUAAUUAAAAUGGGAUUAUCUGAGGGCCGCAGGCGACGCGCCUAUCGCCGUGCAAUACGACGGGAACACUUUAUUCCGUACAAAUACAGUACCUGUUCUCUUCUCGACGUCGCUGAAGAGCACGUCGUCGAUCCUGGCGGGCGGCGAGCGGCCCUUGCUGUUGACGGCCACGGCCGCCAGCCGGUAGCGCACGUCCCACUCCAGCCCGCGCACCGUCCACGACGGC